rnacentral:rRNA from 1 species
CAGUCGCCGCGGUAAAACGGAGGGAGCUAGCGUUGUUCGGAAUCACUGGGCGUAAAGCGCACGUAGGCGGCUAUUCAAGUCAGGGGUGAAAGCCCGGGGCUCAACCCCGGAACUGCCUUUGAAACUAGAUAGCUUGAAUCUUGGAGAGGCGAGUGGAAUUCCGAGUGUAGAGGUGAAAUUCGUAGAUAUUCGGAAGAACACCAGUGGCGAAGGCGACUCGCUGGACAAGUAUUGACGCUGAGGUGCGAAAGCGUGGGAGCAAACAGGAUUAGAUACCCCCGUAGUCCCUGUCUCUUAUACA